GAUGAACGCUAGCUACAGGCUUAACACAUGCAAGUCGGGGGGAAACGACAUCGAAAGCUUGCUUUUGAUGGGCGUCGACCGGCGCACGGGUGAGUAACGCGUAUCCAACCUGCCCAUCACUUGGGAAUAACCUUGCGAAAGUAAGACUAAUACCCAAUGACAUCCCACGAAGACAUCUGAAUGGGAUUAAAGAUUUAUCGGUGAUGGAUGGGGAUGCGUCUGAUUAGCUUGUUGGCGGGGUAACGGCCCACCAAGGCAACGAUCAGUAGGGGUUCUGAGAGGAAGGUCCCCCACAUUGGAACUGAGACACGGUCCAAACUCCUACGGGAGGCAGCAGUGAGGAAUAUUGGUCAAUGGGCGAGAGCCUGAACCAGCCAAGUAGCGUGCAGGAUGACGGCCCUAUGGGUUGUAAACUGCUUUUAUAAGGGAAUAAAGUGGGUCUCGUGAGACUUUUUGCAUGUACCUUAUGAAUAAGGACCGGCUAAUUCCGUG
rnacentral:rRNA from 1 species